rnacentral:rRNA from 1 species
UACGGAGGGUGCGAGCGUUAUCCGGAUUUACUGGGUUUAAAGGGUGCGUAGGUGGGCAGGUAAGUCAGCGGUGAAAUCUCCGAGCUUAACUCGGAAACUGCCAUUGAUACUAUCUGUCUUGAAUUAUCUGGAGGUGAGCGGAAUAUGUCAUGUAGCGGUGAAAUGCUUAGAUAUGACAUAGAACACCAAUUGCGAAGGCAGCGCACUACGGAUACAUUGACACUGAGGCACGAAAGCGUGGGGAGCAAACAGG